GUUAGUGGGGAGUCUUACAACGCGUGGGUAACCUGCCCUAUGCAGGGGGAAAACGUUUGGAAACGAACGCUAAUACCGCAUAAACUAUGGACAGUCGCAUGACUGUUAUAGCAAAGAUUUUAUCGGCAUAGGAUGGACCCGCGUUGGAUUAGCUAGUUGGUGAGAUAACAGCCCACCAAGGCGACGAUCCAUAGCCAGCCUGAGAGGGUGAACGGCCACAUUGGGACUGAGACACGGCCCAAACUCCUACGGGAGGCAGCGGUGGGGAAUAUUGCACAAUGGGCGCAAGCCUGAUGCAGCGACGCCUCGUGAAGGAUGAAGGUCUUCGGAUUGUAAUCUUCUAUCAGCAGGGAAGAAUAAAUGACGGUACCUGACUAAGAAGCUCCGGCUAACUACGUGCCAGCAGCCGCGGUAAUACGUAGGGAGCGAGCGUUAUCCGGAUUUACUGGGUGUAACGGGUGCGUAGGCGGCAUGGUAAGUCAGAAGUGAAAUUUUGGGGCUCAACCCCAUAGCUGCUUCUGAAUCUGCUGCGCUAGAGUGUGGGAGAGGAAAUUGGUAUUCCGAGUGCGUGUGACAUGCGUCUAGAUCCGGAUUGCACCCGUAGCUCAUGCGG
rnacentral:rRNA from 1 species